rnacentral:rRNA from 1 species
GGGAAUUUUGGACAAUGGGCGAAAGCCUGAUCCAGCAAUGCCGCGUGCAGGAUGAAGGCCUUCGGGUUGUAAACUGCUUUUGUACGGAACGAAAAGCUUCGGGUUAAUACCCGGGAGUCAUGACGGUACCGUAAGAAUAAGCACCGGCUAAUUACGUGCCAGCAGCCGCGGUAAUACGUAGGGUGCAAGCGUUAUUCGGAAUUACUGGGCGUAAAGCGUGCGCAGGCGGUUUUGUAAGACAGAGGUGAAAUCCCCGGGCUCAACCUGGGAACUGCCUUUGUGACUGCAAGGCUGGAGUGCGGCAGAGGGGGAUGGAAUUCCGCGUGUAGCAGUGAAAUGCGUAGAUAUGCGGAGGAACACCGAUGGCGAAGGCAAUCCCCUGGGCCUGCACUGACGCUCAUGCACGAAAGCGUGGGGAGCAAACAGGAUUAGAUACCCUGGUAGUCCACGCCCUAAACGAUGUCAACUGGUUGUUGGGUCUUAACUGACUCAGUAACGAAGCUAACGCGUAAAGUGA